AAGUCGUAACAAGGUUUCCGUAGGUGAACCUGCGGAAGGAUCAUUACCAAAUACUGCUUGCCUGGAUGGAUUCGUCCGUUCUGCAAACAACACCCCCCUGCGUACCUGUACCUGUUGCUUCCGUCAGCCAGCGGAUGCCUUUUGGGGCGUCCCCUCCGGUGCCUGGCCAGUUCAUGGCCGGCUGGGGAGUUGCUGGCGGCGAGCCCAAAAACAAAACACAUGUCAUUUCUCUGCCUAGUCUGAGCUUUGAUGCUACGAAACAAAAACAAGUUAAAACUUUCAACAACGGAUCUCUUGGUUCUC
rnacentral:misc_RNA from 1 species